GCUGGGUGUGCUGGCAUACAUCUGUAGUCCCAGCUACUUGGGAGGCUGAGGCAGGAGAAUCGCUUGAACCCAGGAGGUGGAGGGUGCAGUGAGUCAAGAUCACACCAUUGCACUCCAGCCUGGGUGACAGAGUGAGACCCUGUCUCAA
ensembl:misc_RNA Metazoa_SRP Metazoan signal recognition particle RNA